UAAGCGGAGGAAAAGAAACUAACAAGGAUUCCCCUAGUAACGGCGAGUGAACCGGGAAGAGCUCAAAUUUGAAAUCUGGCGUCCUCAGGGCGUCCGAGUUGUAAUCUAUAGAGGCGUUUUCCGUGCCGGACCGUGUCCAAGUUCCUUGGAACAGGAUAUCAAAGAGGGUGACAAUCCCGUACUUGACACGACGACCGGUGCUCUGUGAUACGUCUUCUACGAGUCGAGUUGUUUGGGAAUGCAGCUCAAAAUGGGUGGUGAGUUCCAUCUAAAGCUAAAUAUUGGCGAGAGACCGAUAGCGAACAAGUACCGUGAGGGAAAGAUGAAAAGCACUUUGGAAAGAGAGUUAAACAGUACGUGAAAUUGUUGAAAGGGAAACGAUUGAAGUCAGUCGUGACCGAGAGGCUCAGCCGGUUCUGCCGGUGUAUUCCCCUCGGUCGGGUCAACAUCAGUUUUGUCCGGUGGAUAAGGGCGGUAGGAAGGUGGCACCCUCGGGUGUGUUAUAGCCUGCCGUCGCAUACAUCGGGUGAGACUGAGGAACGCAGCUCGCCUUUAUGGCCGGGGUUCGCCCACGUCCGAGCUUAGGAUGUUGACAUAAUGGCUUUAAACGAC
rnacentral:rRNA from 1 species